UACGUAGGGUGCAAGCGUUAAUCAGAAUUACUGGGCGUAAAGCGUGCGCAGGCGGUUAUGCAAGACAGAUGUGAAAUCCCCGGGCUUAACCUGGGAACUGCAUUUGUGACUGCAUAGCUGGAGUACGGUAGAGGGGGAUGGAAUUCCGCGUGUAGCAGUGAAAUGCGUAGAUAUGCGGAGGAACACCGAUGGCGAAGGCAGUCCCCUGGACCUGUACUGACGCUCAUGCACGAAAGCGUGGGGAGCAAACAGG
rnacentral:rRNA from 1 species